rnacentral:rRNA from 1 species
UGGGGAAUAUUGCACAAUGGGGGAAACCCUGAUGCAGCGACGCCGCGUGAGCGAAGAAGGCUUUCGAGUCGUAAAGCUCUGUCCUAUGAGAAGAUAAUGACGGUAUCAUAGGAGGAAGCCCUGGCUAAAUACGUGCCAGCAGCCGCGGUAAUACGUAUGGGGCGAGCGUUGUCCGGAAUUAUUGGGCGUAAAGGGUACGUAGGCGGUUUUUUAAGUCAGGUGUCAAAGCGUGGAGCUUAACUCCAUUAAGCACUUGAAACUGAAAGACUUGAGUGAAGGAGAGGAAAGUGGAAUUCCUAGUGUAGCGGUGAAAUGCGUAGAUAUUAGGAGGAAUACCGGUGGCGAAGGCGACUUUCUGGACUUUUACUGACGCUCAGGUACGAAAGAGUGGGGAGCAAACAGG